GCCACGUAGGCCUAUAAUUCAUUAUAAGUGGGAUAAUGUUCAGGUUUGUUACACACUAAUCAGUAUUCAAUAUUAAGAAUGUAAUUUAAAAUUUGGUCUUAACAAUCAUGAUUACAGUUCAUCAGUCUUUUUGAUAUAUAUCAAUCUAUUUAAUUAUUUUUCAAAGAUUUAAUUAAACGUGCUGAAUUGCACGGCCCACUCUGAUAUUACUAUAUUAGUGACUAGUAUUUUAGUGAUUUUACUCAUUCGACAUUAAAAUAUGAUUUUGUUAUCACAGUUGUAUGUUAAUCAAUAUUUGGACGAAUCACAGCAUAGAAUGCACAAAUAGGUACGAUAUUGACAAUUGACAAUGUUUCAAGAAAAAAAAAUCCAUUGGAAUAAGAAACUAACUACUAUCUACAAUAGUUACAACAAUCAAAUAGGUAUUCAAAUAUUCAUAAAACAGAUCAAAUAAGUUCUGCAAUGUUGGAUUUAUUAUAUUAAAUUAUUGAUAUAAAAAGAAGACUUUUGGGUGACUUAAUAUUAUACAAAUUUAUCAUGGAGAUGUUAAAAGAUAAAUUAUAUAAAAUAAGCUCCACGGUUUAAAAUAAUUCCUGUUUAAAUAUGGAUAGUGAAAUUUAAACCAUGAGAAAAUUCUUAUUUUUUAUUAUUCGUUCCAUUAUGACCUGAUUGAAUAUUUUGCUUCGUGAUAAUAACAGUUUUAGACAACAAGGUAGAACUAUAGUGAUUGAUGUAGGAAUUUGCCAGAGGCUUUAAGGUGAUUAUCUAUUUGGAAAAACUCAGGCCUUUACAACUUACUAUAGUCAGCAAAGAAGAGCUUCUAGAGAAAAUUAUGUUAAGAACAUCUUACUUUUACUAACAUGGAUUACAUCUAGAGAAACAUUACUGGAUAGUCUCUCCACUCAAGGCACACACCUGUAAAUUAAAAUAAUCUAUAUUUUUGGUUUAUUGUAUUAAGAAUGUACAGUCAGUUGAAUUUCUCAAUUAAAAUUUUUUUUUUUAAACUACUGAUUACUUAACCUUAACAUUAUCUGAUUCAGAUCAUCUUCUAGGACCAUUACAAGUGUCUAUUUUACCUUUUUACUUUUAAGGGUAUAUUUUGUUUAUUUAAUAGUAAAAUACUUUUGUAUUUUAAAGUUUAGUAUUUUUAUAACAAAUAAGUAUUAUGAUAUGUAUUUAUUGACAAAUAUUAAACAAAAUGUAUAUGUUUUUUAA